rnacentral:rRNA from 1 species
CCUACGGGGGGCUGCAGUGGGGAAUAUUGGACAAUGGGGGGAACCCUGAUCCAGCCAUGCCACGUGUGUGAAGAAGGCCCUCGGGUUGUAAAGCACUUUCAGUGAGGAAGAACGCCUGGUGGUUAAUACCCAUCAGGAAAGACAUCACUCACAGAAGAAGCACCGGCUAACUCCGUGCCAGCAGCCGCGGUAAUACGGAGGGUGCGAGCGUUAAUCGGAAUUACUGGGCGUAAAGCGCGCGUAGGUGGCUUGAUAAGCCGGUUGUGAAAGCCCCGGGCUCAACCUGGGAACGGCAUCCGGAACUGUCAAGCUAGAGUGCAGGAGAGGAAGGUAGAAUUCCCGGUGUAGCGGUGAAAUGCGUAGAGAUCGGGAGGAAUACCAGUGGCGAAGGCGGCCUUCUGGACUGACACUGACACUGAGGUGCGAAAGCGUGGGUAGCAAACAGGAUUAGAUACCCUGGUAGUC